GAUCAUGGCUCAGGAUGAACGCUAGCGGCAGGCCUAAUACAUGCAAGUCGAACGGGACGGGCCCCUCGGGGGCCCUGAGAGUGGCGCACGGGUGCGCAACGCGUAUGCAACCAACCCCCGACAGGCGGAUAGCCGGUGGAAACGCCGGAUAAUACGCCAUGGUUCCCCGGGAGGGCAUCCUCCUGAGGAUAAAGCCGAGAGGCGGUCGGGGACGGGCAUGCGUCCCAUUAGAUGGUAGGCGGGGUGACGGCCCACCUAGUCCACGAUGGGUAGGGGAUCUGAGAGGACGGUCCCCCACACUGGUACUGAGACACGGACCAGACUCCUGCGGGAGGCAGCAGUAAGGGAUAUUGGUCAAUGGGGGCAACCCUGAACCAGCCAUGCCGCGUGAGGGAAUGAGGCCCUACGGGUCGUGAACCUCUUUUAUUCGGGGACAAGGACUGGGUCGCGAACCUAGUUUGAGGGUACCGAAGGAAUAAGCAUCGGCUAACUCCGUGCCAGCCGCGGC
rnacentral:rRNA from 1 species